rnacentral:rRNA from 1 species
UACGUAGGGUGCGAGCGUUAAUCGGAAUUACUGGGCGUAAAGCGUGCGCAGGCGGCUUUGCAAGACAGAUGUGAAAUCCCCGGGCUCAACCUGGGAACUGCAUUUGUGACUGCAAGGCUAGAGUACGGCAGAGGGGGAUGGAAUUCCGAGUGUAGCAGUGAAAUGCGUAGAUAUGCGGAGGAACACCAAUGGCGAAGGCAAUCCCCUGGGCCUGUACUGACGCUCAUGCACGAAAGCGUGGGGAGCAAACAGG